GGGCCAUGGUGAGGGCAUUCUUAGAGUAGAUCCUUGAAUCGCUCCAUAAGUUUGGAAAAGGACUCACUAGGCUUUUGCCCAAACUAAAGGAUCACUUCUAAGCUU